GCCAUCGUGGUUUAGUGGUUAGUACGCUAGACACGUAUUACAGAGGUCCGUGGUUCGAGUCCCGGCGAAGGCG
rfam:Stegodyphus mimosarum contig56407, whole genome shotgun sequence.